rnacentral:rRNA from 1 species
AUUGAACUCUAGCGGGAUGCUUUACAAAUGCAAGUCGAACGAGUGGCGGACGGGUGAGUAAUAGAUCGGAACGUGCCCAGUAGCGGGGGAUAACUACUCGAAAGAGUGGCUAAUAACGCAUACUAUUGGAGCGGCCGAUAUCGGAUUAGUUAGUUGGUGGGGUAAAGGCUCACCAAGGAAACGAGCCGUAGCUGGUUUGAGAGGACGACCAGCCCCACCGGGACUGAGACACGGCCCAGACUCCUACGGGAGGCAGCAGUGGGGAAGUUUGGACAAAGGGGGAAACCCUGAUCCAGCCAUCCCGCGUGUAUGAGAAGGCCCUAGGGUUGUAAAGUACUUUCAGUCGGGAGGCGUUACCGACAGAAGAAGCACCGGCUAACUCCGUGCCAGCCGCCGCGGUAAUAC